rnacentral:rRNA from 1 species
UACGAAGGGGGCUAGCGUUGCUCGGAAUCACUGGGCGUAAAGGGUGCGUAGGCGGGUCUUUAAGUCAGGGGUGAAAUCCUGGAGCUCAACUCCAGAACUGCCUUUGAUACUGAGGAUCUUGAGUUCGGGAGAGGUGAGUGGAACUGCGAGUGUAGAGGUGAAAUUCGUAGAUAUUCGCAAGAACACCAGUGGCGAAGGCGGCUCACUGGCCCGAUACUGACGCUGAGGCACGAAAGCGUGAGGAGCAAGCAGG